UACAGAGGGUGCAAGCGUUAAUCGGAAUUACUGGGCGUAAAGGGCUCGUAGGUGGCCAACUAAGUCAUACGUGAAAUCCCUCGGCUUAACCGGGGAACUGCGUCUGAUACUGGAUGGCUUGAGGUUGGGAGAGGGAUGCGGAAUUCCAGGUGUAGCGGUGAAAUGCGUAGAUAUCUGGAGGAACACCGGUGGCGAAGGCGGCAUCCUGGACCAAUUCUGACACUGAGGAGCGAAAGCCAGGGGAGCAAACGGG
rnacentral:rRNA from 1 species